CAGCCAAGGGAACGGGCUUGGCAGAAUCAGCGGGGAAAGAAGUCCCUGUUGAGCUUUGACUCUAAGUCUGGCACUGUGAAGAGACAUGAGAGGUGUAGAAUAAAGUGGAAGACCCUCGCGGCCGCCGGUGAAAUACCACUACUCUUAUCGUUUUUCCACUUACCCGGUGAAGCGGGGAGCGGAGCCCCAAGCGGGGCCUCGGUUCUGGCGUCAAGCGGGUCGGCUCGCCCGGUCCACGACCCCCUCCGGUGACAGUGGCAUGUGGGGAGUUUGACGGGGGUCGUACGCCUUUCACGCGGUACUGCAGGUGUCUUAAGGCGACUUCAGGGAGUCUGUGGUGGUCUGUGGUGGUCUGCGGCGGUCUGCGGGGGGACGAACUCGCCUGUAGGUCAGCGCGGUCAUUUAGUGAACACAGAAACGUUUCACUCAGGUGAUCGAUGAACAGUCACCUUUAGACUCGUGAUGUAAAGAUAAGAGAGGAAAUAAACGACGAUCGGCACAUAAACUUAUAAACGUCUAUAAUCAUUUGUCAGAUCCCAGCAGCUCUGUGACUAAUUUCUCAUAAACGUCUGAGAGGUAUUUUCACUUUUAGGUCACUUCCUUCAUUUAGAACAGAAUAAUAAUGCUGACGUUUUAGAAACUGAUGUAUUUUCUCAUGUUGCAGUAAAAGUACAAGUUGUUUUGU
rnacentral:ncRNA from 1 species